rnacentral:rRNA from 1 species
GACGAACCGUGCGAACGUUGUUCGGAAUCACUGGGCUUAAAGGGCGCGUGGGCGGCUUCGCAAGUCCGGGGUGAAAGCCUCCAGCUCAACUGGAGAAGUGCCUUGGAUACUGCGGGGCUCGAGGGAGGUAGGGGUGCGUGGAACUUCCGGUGGAGCGGUGAAAUGCGUUGAUAUCGGAAGGAACGCCGGUGGCGAAAGCGACGCACUGGACCUCUUCUGACGCUGAGGCGCGAAAGCCAGGGGAGCAAACGGG